GUGCCAGCCGCCGCGGUAAUACGGAGGGUGCAAGCGUUAUCCGGAUUCACUGGGUUUAAAGGGUGCGUAGGCGGGUAGAUAAGUCAGUGGUGAAAUCUCGGAGCUUAACUCCGAAACUGCCAUUGAUACUAUUUAUCUUGAAUAUUGUGGAGGUUUGCGGAAUAUGUCAUGUAGCGGUGAAAUGCUUAGAUAUGACAUAGAACACCUAUUGCGAAGGCAGCAGGCUACACAUAUAUUGACGCUGAGGCACGAAAGCGUGGGGAUCAAACAGGAUUAGAUACCCUGGUAGUCCACGCCCUAAACGAUGAUUACUCGACAUACGCGAUACACUGUGUGUGUCUGAGCGAAAGCAUUAAGUAAUCCACCUGGGAAGUACGUCCGCAAGGAUGAAACUCAAAGAAAUUGACGG
rnacentral:rRNA from 1 species